rnacentral:tRNA from 1 species
AGGGUAAUAGUUCAAUUUGGUAGAAUGCUUGGUUUGGGACCAAGUGGUUAUGGGUUCAAGUCCCAUUUACCCUACCA